GCGAGACUUCCUCGGCCUUGCCAUAGAACAGAAAGAGGCGGUGGGUACUCCUUCUCGCGAGACUUCCUCGGCCUAGCCAUAGAACAGAAAGAGGCGGUGGGUACUCCUUCUCGCGAGACUUCCUCGGCCUAGCCACGCCUCUUCCCUCACCACAGACUUCACUCAAAUAGUGAGGAUUAGAAAGAAGCUGGACCUCAGAAGGCCUCUUUUCUCGCGAGACUUGCCUCAGUAUGGCCGCGCCUCCUCCCUCAGCACAGGCCUCACUCACGUAGAGAGGACCAGCAAGAGACCUUCCCAGGAUGUCAUAGCCUUGAGCCAUGGCAGUUAAAGUGAGGGUCAAACCGCAUUAAUUCUGCAGUGUAGAUGCAGUCGUGAGUUCUUGCUUUGCUUUUACCAGGAUCAUGGCAAGAUUAUAGAGGCUGAAGACGAAUUUGUUACAAAAAUGUAUUAAGAGGAAAUAUUCCAAUGUGAGAAGAAGAAAAGGCAUCAAAGAAAAGUGAUCUAAACGGUUGCCUAAGGAUCUCAUCCCACCCAAAAUUGUCUUUCUUUGGAGGAUUUUCAAUGGAGACCAGUUGACCAUCUAUUGUUAGCCACUCACAGUGUGGCAGAAACUGAAAGGGCAUGAGCAAACAAGGUGCAUUAGACCUGCAGGACAAGAACCUCAAAUCAGUGAACCCAAGGACAAGCAUAAUCUUGUAGAGAAGUGUGUAUAGCUGAGACACAGGGCAGGGUCUUUUCGGUUAUUGUAUGGGAGCUUUAGAACAUGAAUCCUUAAAGCUUAAGUUGGUUCUACAUGAGUUAACUGCAAUUUUUACUCCAAGUCCAAUUUAAGGACUCGGUUUUAACCUUUCAACCUCCAAAUAGCUCAAAGAGUUAUUUCUUUGUUGGCCCCCACUGAAACUCCAGUACCCUGGAGGUGGACUAGGCUACGAAUUUUACACAAAUGUUUCACCUUGGCAGUAAGGCUUGUACUACAUAGAUAUAAAAUAAUAAAGUUGGGACACUUCAUACACAAGCCUAUUGAACACAUUUCAGUUAUAUGCAAAGACCUCAUCUCAUGAGGGGAGGAAAGCGGGGGGGGGGGGGGGGUGAAUCAUCUUCAUUACUGUAGCAUUUUGUUUCAUUCUGUUUAUAAAAAAAACUGACACUAUAGUCACUCUAUCAUAUGUCAUGUACUUUUGUUUGGGUCUGAUGAGAUCCUAAAUCUCUGCUGCUACCAUAUGCGAACACUUCUACCACCAAAUGCAAAGGCUUUUCCCUAUCCCCAUCUCUAUCACAAAUGUAAGGACCAUGAAUGUAAUAUUAUAGGUAUGUGGAAUAUUAUGCUAUUUCUGGCCCUACUGGAUACCCACUCUUUCUAUUCUCUGCUACCACAGACAUUGGGUUUGAGUCCUUAUGUGUAUAGUGUUCCCAGAGGCCACAAGUAUAUGGCAUACAAAAGCAAUACUUUAUUAACAGGAGCUGGACAACACAAAACGGUAUGCAAAGGGAAUUUGUAGCACCUCCGAGACUAACUGAAAGGUCAAACAUGACAGUAUAAGCUUUCGUAGACUAAGCAUGCAUCUACACUGUAGAAUUAGUGUAGUUUGACCCCACUUUAAUUGCCAUGUAUCAAUGCUAUGGAAUCCUGGGAGUUGUCGUUUGGCACCAGCACUUUUUGGCAGAGAAGGAUGGAAACCUUGUGAAACUCCAACAUACCGAUAUUCCAGUCUAACACUGCUACAUAUUUAAAAUAAAAUAAAAACAGAUUAAUACUGAAAUAUAUUUAAAGCCUGUAUUUCACUCUCACUUGCCUUAAAACUAUUGAGAUUAUUAAACCUCAGUACUUAUUAAUUCCUAAUACUGACUAACUUAAGACCAGACUCUCCCUAGCCAGGAUUUCCAGACUGCCAACUUUAUUCAAAUUCCUUCAAGCAUUUCCACAUCACUUUUCCCUCUUGACUCCCUCUACUGCUUACCUUAUUAUCUGUUACACAUCUAAUACAUUUCCCAAUACAUAUCCAUGACAUCACUGCAGUGGUAUGGGAAAGUUUUAUUUCAGAACGCAAGGAAAAAACCAAGCUGGUUAUCUGCCAUCAGAUGACUAGGAAAAUCUAAAGCAGGCAAUAUCUGGUAUGUUUGUGAUGACUCAUAGAGGGCCUCUUGUAUGUUUAGGAUUCCUGCUGUCCUUGGAAGACAAAUGGUUAGAAUGGAUGUCCUUGCCUUCGCUUGUGAAAGUGCAGAGAAGCUGAGCAAAAUAAAAGUAGCAUAACUCAAGGUGCAGCUGCACUGUAAAAUCAAUGCAAUUUGACACCACUUUAACUGCCAUAGCACAAUGAUGUGUAAUGGGAUUUGUAGUUUGGUGGUAUUAUUAUUAUGCUUUUAUUUCCUGACUGAGAUGCAAAGGAGCUUACAACAUUAAAAAAAGCACUUUGGAACCCACAAUAUACAAUUAUUAAAAUAGAAUUAAACCUACAAGCCAAUUAAAAUGACUUAAAACAUUUCAAACUGUUAAAAUAAUCAAAAGCACGCAUGCACGUAAACAGGCUCACUCUUUAAAAUUUUAUUCUUUAAAAGCCAAUGAUUUCAUAGCAGUGAGUCAUGGAAGUUAAAGUAAUGUCAGCCAAUGCACUUCUAGUUAUGGCCUUGCAAGGAAAGUAUUGUGCCUACUAGUAAGGUCAUCUCAGACUUUUAAAAAGUACAAAUGAGUUUAGGCAUAGGGAGCAUUUUUUUCCAAUUAGUACUAUAACAUAGGCAGUUUUAUGUAUCCUUUUUUCUAACACAACUUACUUCCAGGCAAGAAUUAUCACAUGAGGGUUCCAUUCAACAUGUUAUAGUACUUCGAGCAUUGGACUAUGAC